UACGUAGGCAGCGAGCGUUGUUCGGAGUUACUGGGCGUAAAGAGUGCGUAGGCGGUUUUCUAAGUUUGGUGUGAAAUCUCCCGGCUUAACUGGGAGGGUGCGCCGAAAACUGGAAGGCUUGAGUAUGGGAGAGGUAAGCGGAAUUCCUGGUGUAGCGGUGAAAUGCGUAGAUAUCAGGAGGAACACCUGCGGUGUAGACGGCUUACUGGACCAUAACUGACGCUGAGGCACGAAAGUGUGGGUAGCAAACAGG
rnacentral:rRNA from 1 species